GUGAGUUUAAUUUACAUAUCAUUGUGCUUAUUUGUUUGUAUUAGUUAAUUGUCAGAUAUAUAAACUAAUUUAUUUCUUUAUUAUGAAUUUAACUCAAUUUUGAUCAAUUGUCUCAUCUAGAUGUAGAAUAAACACAAUUCCAUACUGACUACGCAAGUGCACGUUAAUAUUGCACAAUGGACGAUCCCCUGCAUUGACAUACACCUAGCUGGCUUGUGAUCAAUAAGGCAGAAAAUAUGUCAUUGUCCAACUCCCGAAAUUCAUUUUACUGUUUCAUGAUAAC
rnacentral:lncRNA from 1 species